AGGACGAACGCUGGCGGCGUGCUUAACACAUGCAAGUCGAGCGGAAAGGCCCUUCGGGGUACUCGAGCGGCGAACGGGUGAGUAACACGUGAGCAACCUGCCCCCUGGCUCUGGGAUAGCUCCGGGAAACCGGGAUUAAUACCGGAUGUGACCUGCCGCGGCAUCGCGGCGGGUGGAAAGUUUUUCGGCCAGGGAUGGGCUCGCGGCCUAUCAGCUUGUUGGCAGGGUAAUGGCCUACCAAGGCGACGACGGGUA
rnacentral:rRNA from 1 species